rnacentral:rRNA from 1 species
UAGGGAAUAUUGGACAAUGGGGGCAACCCUGAUCCAGCCAUGCCGCGUGAGUGAAGAAGGCCCUCGGGUUGUAAAGCUCUUUUGUCCGGAAAGAAAAGCUUCGGGUUAAUACCCCGGGGUUCUGACGGUACCGGAAGAAUAAGCACCGGCCAACUUCGUGCCAGCAGCCGCGGUAAUACGAAGGGUGCAAGCGUUACUCGGAAUUACUGGGCGUAAAGCGUGCGUAGGUGGUUGUUUAAGUCUGAUGUGAAAGCCCUGGGCUCAACCUGGGAAUGGCAUUGGAAACUGGGCAGCUAGAGUGCGGUAGAGGGUAGUGGAAUUCCCGGUGUAGCAGUGAAAUGCGUAGAGAUCGGGAGGAACAUCUGUGGCGAAGGCGACUGCCUGGACCAGCACUGACACUGAGGCACGAAAGCGUGGGGAGCAAACA